UCUCACCCCCAAUUUCAUAUCUUCCCUUUAAUCCACCAAAAUCACAUGUUACUAAUUUUCUUAAAGAAAUUCAAUUUGAGCUUUCAUCGGAGUGAAUUCAAUUUCCAAACAUUUUCACAAUUGUUAAAAACAGUCGUUUCAAUUGUUUAAUUGUAGGUUCCUGAAGGUCUAAGUAAUCAUGUGAGUUAAUUCAAGAAAGCUCAAUCAAACUGGUAUAACCAAGUAUCAAACGCAUGGAGGAAAUCUAAACCUCCACCAAACACACCUGAAGAAGCUUCGAGGCUUGUAAGUCACACCCUACAGCGACACCCAACACCCGAUAUGGAGGGCUUAUGACCGUUCUACGUUCUCCGUCUUCCACAUCUUCUGGUUGAUGCGCCUUCACUCGUUGACGGGAUCAAGUUUGAGUUGCACACGCUUCCGGUGGAUGCAAAGGCAGUAGCAGAUGGGGAUACUGUAACAGUCUAUGUUAGUACCUCGGAUGCCCGGGAGUCAUCGCGUGUUCCCCAAGAGGUACAAAUGGCUGCGGU
rnacentral:lncRNA from 1 species